rnacentral:rRNA from 1 species
GUGCCGUGAGGUGUCGGCUUAAGUGCCAUAACGAGCGCAACCCUUGUUGUCAGUUACUAACAGGAUUUGCUGAGGACUCUGACAAGACUGCCAUCGUAAGAUGUGAGGAAGGUGGGGAUGACGUCAAAUCAGCACGGCCCUUACGUCCGGGGCUACACACGUGUUACAAUGGGGGGUACAGAGGGCCGCUACCACGCGAGUGGAUGCCAAUCCCAAAAACCUCUCUCAGUUCGGACUGGAGUCUGCAACCCGACUCCACGAAGCUGGAUUCGCUAGUAAUCGCGCAUCAGCCACGGCGCGGUGAAUACGUUCCCGGGCCUUGCACUCACCGCCCGU